rnacentral:rRNA from 1 species
AACGAACGCUGGCGGCAUGCCUAACACAUGCAAGUCGAACGAGACCUCCCGGCCUAGUGGCGCACGGGUGCGUAACGAGUGGGAACCUACCCUUAGGUUAGCAAUAACUCACCGAAAGGGGUGCUAAGACCGCAUAAUGUCAUCGGACAAAAGAUCUACCGCUUUUGGAUGGGCCCGCGUAGGAUUGGCCAGUUGGUAGGGUAAAAGCCUACCAACGCGACGAUCCUUGGCUGGUGGGGUACGAGGAUCAGCCACACUGGGGCUGAGACACGGCCCAGACUCCGACGGAGGGCAGCGGUGGGGAAUAUUAGACGAUGGGCGAAGGCCUAGUCCAGCAGUGCCGCGUGAGUGAUGAAGGGCUUAGGGUUGUAAAGCUCUUUUACCCGGGAUGAUAAUGACAGUACCGGGUGAAUAAGCACCGGCUAACUCCGUG